UUCCUGGGAAAUUUCUGGACAGCCUGAGCUCGGAAGAGACAGAAAGGUUUCUCUCCACCUCUGGAUUCUGAACGCUGAGCCUGCAUACAUUCUCUGUGUCCUGGCCACCUCUCUGAACCUUCUCUAGUCAGACUAUCAUCCCUGCCUCUCCCAAGAGCAUCCUCAUCAAUGCCACCAAUGUUGUCAAGUCCAAGUUCAAAUCCCAGUCUUCAUUUUCAGUUGAUGUGUCAGGGACAAUUCCCUAGCGUGCUGACCCUUCUCCCUUACACACUUUCACUGAGAACCUUCUCAGACUUGGAGCCUUCCUCCACCUGGCCACCUUCCCUUCUGAAGUCUCCUUUCCUGGUUCUUCCUCAGCCAGAACUGUUAAUACGGCCAUGUCUGAGGACUCCGUAUUUGGCUUCUUCUCAAAUAUCCCUUGCCUAUUAUGGCAUGCUCAUCCUAACUCCUGAGCUCCUAACUCAUGCAUCCAAUCACCUGUGUGAAAUUACUUGUGGCUGUCACAUACUUAUUCAAAUGUAGGGCAACCUCAACUGAACACCCCUGCCUCCACCCCAAGCCUUCUCAGAAUCCCUUGCCCUGUUUACCCCCUUUCACCUAAUGUAGACUCCACCUUCCAGGUGCUCAAUAAACGUUAGAGCUAUAGAAAACCUUUGAACAGAGAACACAGUGCCACAGAUUCAAGAUCUUGGAUCUCAGCAACAAUUUUUUUAAACAAGAUACAAUACACUCUAACCUUAUUGAUCAAAAUAUAAACCAAUAC
rnacentral:lncRNA from 1 species